rnacentral:rRNA from 1 species
CCUACGGGGGGCAGCAGUGGGGAAUAUUGCGCAAUGGGCGAAAGCCUGACGCAGCGACGCCGCGUGAGGGAUGAAGGUCUUCGGAUCGUAAACCUCUGUCAGCAGGGAAGAACGGUCACUGUGCUAAUCAGCAGUGAAUUGACGGUACCUGCAAAGGAAGCACCGGCUAACUCCGUGCCAGCAGCCGCGGUAAUACGGAGGGUGCGAGCGUUAAUCGGAAUUACUGGGCGUAAAGCGCUCGUAGGCGGUAUGUCAAGUCAAGGGUGAAAUCCCCGCGCUCAACGUGGGAACUGCCUUUGAAACUGGCAAACUGGAGUGUGAGAGAGGAUAGUGGAAUUCCAGGUGUAGGAGUGAAAUGCGUAGAUAUCUGGAGGAACAUCAGUGGCGAAGGCGACUAUCUGGCACAUAACUGACGCUGAGGAGCGAAAGCGUGGGUAGCAAACAGGAUUAGAUACCCGAGUAGUC